GUGAAGUUUUAUUCUUGCUUUUUUGUUCAGUGUUUUGUUUGUUCUAUAUGUAAGUUUGUGCGUGAGUUUGACUAAAUUUUAAAUAGGUUUGGUAUUUUUUAUAUAAUUCUCAUUAGUUGUUAUUGGUUGGUCAAGUAUUCUUGUAUUUAGCAAUACGUUGUUUAGCUUCGGUUAAAUUUUGUGCCAGCAGCCGCGGUUAUACCUUGGAAGCAUUUGAAUAUGUUCGGCAUAUGUAGUUAUAUUGUUUAGUAUUUGAUUUUAUUUUGGUUAUUGUUAGGUGAAAUUUUUAUUUUCAUAAUUUUCUUAUUUCUAUUUGGAGGCUAUGAAAUUCUUUUGGUAAACUAGGAUUAGAUACCCUAUUAUUUUAGAAUGUUAAUUUUUUGUGUGUCUGAGUAGUAUUAGUUAUGUUCUUGAAACUUAAAGAAUUUGGCGGUAUCUCAUUCCGUCCAGAGGAAUCUGUCUCGUAAUCGAUAGUCCACGUUGGACCUUACUUAGUUUUAAUUAGGUUUGUAUACCGCCGUUUAUUGAUUAUCUUUUUAGGGUUUAUUAAUUUUCUGGUUUCUUUAUUUUGAUUUAUUUCAGGUCAAGGUGCAGCUUGUUUCUAAGUGAUAUGAUGGAUUACAUUGUUAUUUGUUUUAUGGAUUGUUGGUUUAAAUAUUGACAUGAAAUUGGAUUUGGUUGUAAUUGUUUGUAGAUUGUUAUUAUGAUAAUUGGUUCUGGGAUAUGCACACAUCGCCCGUCGCUCUCGUUUAUUUUAAUGAGAUAAGUCGUAACAAAGUGGUUGUACCGGAAGGUGCAGCUGGAUUGAU
rnacentral:ncRNA from 1 species